rnacentral:rRNA from 1 species
UACGGAAGGCAGCAGUGGGGAAUAUUGCACAAUGGGCGAAAGCCUGAUGCAGCUAUGCCGCGUGUAUGAAGAAGGCCUUAGGGUUGUAAAGUACUUUCAUCGGGGAGGAAAAAACAAAACUAAUAAUUUUAUUUCUUGACGUUACCCGAAAAAGAAGCACCGGCUAACUCCGUGCCAGCAGCCGCGGUAAUACGGAGGGUGCUAGCGUUAAUCAGAAUUACUGGGCGUAAAGAGCACGUAGGUGGUUUUUUUAAAGUCAGAUGUGAAAUCCCUGGGCUUUAACCUAGGAACUGCAUUUUGAAACUGAAAUACUAGAGUAUCGUAGAGGGAGGUAGAAUUCUAGGUGUAGCGGUGAAAUGCGUAGAUAUCUGGAGGAAUACCUGUGGCGAAAGCGGCCUCCUAAACGAAUACUGACACUGAGGGUGCGAAAGCGUGGGGAGCAAACAGGGAUUAAAU